rnacentral:lncRNA from 1 species
UUUUUUAACCUUUUUCUCUUACACUUCCCAAAGCGUGAAAAACCCCACUCCCACCCCAACCAAAUAAAAUUAUCAAAAAACCCUCUUCCUCAAACACCACGAUGCCUUCCUCUAUGGUGGAGCUUUGAACUCCCAUUCUUCAUUGCAAUGACUUGCCUUCUCUGAGGGCGAUUUGAACUUGGACACCCACUCUACACAUCUGGUGAAUUUGUCUUGGCUUAGGGUUUGUUAUCCUUCUUGUCAAGGUAACUUUUUGAUCAUUUCUUCUUGAAGUUGUAACUUUUAUCGUUGUAGAAUUUUCUUUGAAAAUCAAAUUGAGGACAUUCAAUUUGAAAAUUUUCAAUUUUGGAGCAAAAUCUAUCCAUUUUCGUUCAUUUUUCAGGUAUAAUGCUAAAUUUUAUGAAUGAGAUAAAUACACUUGACCCUUUGCAUAACCUGACUCUCAUUUUUUUUUCUCUUCUCUAUUUCUAGUGUUUAUCAUCAUUUUUCUAUUCUCUGUUUAUACUUUCUUUUGGAUAUGCGAUUCAUUUACUGUUUUUGUGUUAAAGUUUGUCUUUUUAUGAACAUUUUUAGGCUCUUUAGGUAGUUUUAUGAUAUUUGGGUAAUUUUUUUAAAAAAAUAGUUGGAUGUCUUUUGUUGUGAAAUGAAAUAAUUUAUCAGUUGUCCUGCUGUUCAUGUGAUUUAUUAUGUGAAUUUGAGGUCAAUUUGGCUUCUGUGUAAUUGUUAUAUUGUGCAAAUUGUAGAAUUUGGUAUGCUGAAUAUCUUCUAUAAAAACAGAUGCAUUCAUGCUUAAUAAGGAUAUGUUUGGCAUAUAAUUUUUUUUCUUUUCAAUUGUACAAGUUGUCUUCCAGAUAUUAGAUUUUGAGAAAAUUAUGUGAGUUACCUAUUUUAGUGUAUCUGAUUGAUUCUUGAUUGAAAGAAUUGUAAGAAUCACUGGUAGAACAUUGAGAUAUCGUUGUUGAAAUGUCAUAUAUAUAGAUAAUUGUGAAAUGACAUGCUUACUGAUCAUAGUUCUUUCUCUCUAGCUUAUUAAAAUAUUAAGUUGUUUAUGAACACUAAAUCUUCUUAUUGAGUGUCAUUUUAUAUCUUGCGAUAACACUUCUUCCCAUAUAUUAUGCGUUUGAUCACAAGUGAUGUUAGUGGUAACAACUAUUUUUUAAGAACAACAAUUGAAUUUCACAUUUAAAAAACCAUUUGAAAAUUUUGAUUUUAGAGUGUCAUUAUCAAUAAUAUAACUUGACAGGCCAUGGCUGGCCGAUAUUGAUCGCACCAAUUAAACAACAAAAUGUUCAUUGCUACUAUAGGUCCUUUUAAAGUUGCGAGUAAAAUGAAAAAAGUAAUACAAAUUGAACCAAGUCUUUACCUUGAUGAACUCUUUGAAGAUCAAACAAUCAACUUAACUCAUGAAGAACAUGGCGUAGUCUCAUAUUUGUCUAUCUAAAUUGGCUUGGCAGCAUGUGGUACUUCGCUGCUAGCACUGGUACCAAUAGUUUCAUUUGCAUUUCCUGCAUUAGGAGUCUCUUCACUCGGAGGUUGUUUUUCACCUCGUUGAGGUGAUUGACAUGACGGUGUAUCAGGAGUUGCUGGCUUAGGCUUUGUUAUUAUAGGCCUACAGACCCUAUCAAAUGCCUCUGCCUUCCUUCAAACAUCAGCUGACAAAUGAACAGGGUUGUCAUAUUUUGGAAGAGCAUCCUGACGCUGGCUUUUCUCUCUAAACCAAGCCUCAAGCUUCGACACACUCGUUCACAAACUUCUUCUUCUCUGCUAAAUCAAUGUGAUCAAACAUUCUCUAACUAUUUAUGCAAUAAAUAAAUUGGUCAAUCACAGGACCCCUCUGUGUACUCCUUAUAUUGUUGUUAUAUCAGAUCACCUUGCUUUUUAAGCUCCUCAAUCUUGGAAAUGUAAACACCCCUAGUUUCAUCCUCUCUAUCUUCAUACAACCAAUCUUUCAUUUCUUGAAGUUUAGCAAUAAAAUUUUCUCUUUCUGAAUCUGAAAGCUUAUCCCUCAUGUCAUAAACAUAGGACUCAGUAACAUUCUUCCUGUCCUUUGUAUCUUCCAUUACAUGGUCUUGAAGAGCCAUUUCAAAUUCUUUCGCAUUUGCCUUCUAAACAUCAGCAGUUCCCAUUGCACCAUAAACAAUCUCAGUCACUGGUAUAGAUGUCUUCAUGACCUUUUUCUUAGGUGCUUCAACCUUAACAUUUGUCUCCAUAUGGACAUGUUUGUCUCCAGACUCCAGAACACCAUUCAGCUCCUUUUGCAUCAGUUUCCGAUGUAGUUGAAGGAGCAGCAUCAACUGAAGCUUCAUCUGUUUCCAUUUUGGCAGGUUCCUUAGCUGUCUCUUUCACAACUUGGACUUCCAGAUCUUCCUCUUCAAAAAGCGUUACUUUGACUUUUAGUUUAGCCCUUUGACCCUUUGCAGAUUGGAAUGGUCCAAUCGUGUAAGUAUUGAUCUUUGUUGGUGCCUGCAGUUUACUAACAUCAACAUAUUGUACAUGUAUUGUAAAUAUUCCAGAUCUGUAGAAUGUUAGAGCUUUCACACUGGGUAUCGGAUUUUCUUUGGAGAAAACAAUUGUGAAUUGAUGAUUCUUCAAAGCUCCAUUUUGUGCACCUGGAGCAGGCCCCUUCCAUGAUAAUGAAAUUGAGAAAGGGAAGCUCUCAUUGACCUAUAAUUCCCGCACUUUAAAGGUAGGACUGAGAAUAGAGCAUUGCAGUGCACAUUCUUUGGCCAAACAGUCACUUGCAUUCAUGGUGCGCUUCUGUUCCUUACCGAAAAACAUUGUCAAAAUCCUCAUAAUUGUAGGCACUGGAGAGCUUGACCCAACAACCUCAACUGCAGGAAUGUUCUCAGUAGUAAGCCUAGCUUCAACAAGAGAUUUCUCCAGUGGUUUCUUCACUCUCUCCAAGAUAGGGAUGCUGAUUGUAACAACUAAUUUAAUCUUAUAAAGGAAAAACAUAUUUUUGACAUGAAAAUAAGAUAAUUUUAAUUACUUGACAACACCAAGUUAGUGUUGAAUUAAAAGUUAACAUACAACUAAGUAAAAGAAUAGUCCUUGUGCAGCUUUUUGGGAUUAAAUAGGAGAUGCAUUUAACUCUCGUAACAUGUUCGAUAAGAUUGUCAACAACUUUAGAAAUUAUGGAUAAUUUAUUGUUAUGAAGUGAUGUUGGACAGUGAUACUGUGAAAGUGUAUCAUCAGCACCUAUGGUUACUUAAUAAGGAUAUAUUUAUAGCUUUCAGAAAUUGAUCCUUUCAUAAAUAAUUUAAUGUAUCUGUUGAACUUUGAUUGUCUUCUUAGUUCCACAAUAAAACAUAUUUUAUGCUAUGAGUGCUUGAUCUGUGGACUAUAAUUUUCAUUGUUACUACUUAUUUACCACACUACUCCUGGAUUGGAUAUGUAUGUGAGCUUACCAGACAGAUCUUUAAGCUUUUAUUAUUUACCAUCAUCACAUUUGAUUUUAUUGGUCAUGCUAAACAUAAAUGGACAAUAGAGAAAAUUAUUUGCUUCAAGUUUGAAGGAACCAAAUAAGAAUUAGACUGUUUGUCCUUUGGCUUCCUUAGCAUUAGCAGAAGCUUAGGAGUUUUUUUGUGUGAGGUAUAAGAUAUAAUAAUCUCGGGAUGAAAUAUAGAAUUAUUUUAUCCUGUGUUUGGCUGGAGGUAUUAGGUAGUCCUUUGGUUAUUUAUCCCACUAUUUAUACCACAGUGAUGUGUGAUAAGUUAUCUCACAUAUAUGGUGGAAUAACUAUCAGAGGAUAACUUAUUCCGGUAUAAUUAAUCCUUGGAUAACAUAUUCCCAACCAAACGACCCUUAGUGUACACCUUAAUGCAAACUCUAUCAGAUGGUUGGAACUAUAAUUUCUUGAGAAUAUGUAAUCUUUAUUCAAUAGAUUCAAGAUGUUAUAAUUGCUAUAUGAUAAUGUGAUGUCAAGUUAUGUUCUUAGCUAGUUCAUUUACUGAAGAUCAAGGAUACUGUUGUUAGCAUUUGAAGUAUCAUGUGUGCAGUAGGUUCACUGGUUUUAAAAAAAUCAAUUUAAAGAUUAAAACUGCUAGAAAAAUGUCUACUCUGUAGUCUUCUACACUUAAGAAAUAUAAAGUAAGUUUUCAAAAGGAAGAACGAAGUUAGUAUAAAAAAAAAUUAUAAUGUGAUGUACAUGAAGUAGAGUGACACUUCUUAUCUUUCAAAAUGAAUAUUGUCAAAAUAAGAUAUUUGUUAGACCACCAGGUAGUAGUUACAGUGAUUCCACCACACACAUGCUCUCUUCCUCUUUAAUUAAUUAGUAGAGAAUAGUUACUUUAAAAUACAUGCUGCAAAUUCAUAAUGAUUUAAUUUUAGCACGUGCAUGUUUUUUUACUUUGCACAUUAAGAUUUUUUUUGGUCGAGUAAAUAUUAUUAACAACAUGCAAUCCUUUAUUUUCGGGUGAGUUUCUCUUAGUCAUACAUUUUAUGGUCGAAGAUGACUGCACAAUUCUUUUUAUAUAGGCAAGUAAUGCAUCCUGCAAUGUGCCACCUCUUUCAAAUAUGAUCAACUGUAUUUCCAACACCUGCUGUCCACAUAUUCAAAACUUGUCUCCAGGUUUUACAGUCGAGGGUCCAACAAUCUACUGGCUUGAGUUUGUCAAGAGCAUCUAAAUCACCGUAACUAACUCUUGACAUUCAUGUAAAUCCAAAAAAUUUGGAAGCAAGACGUCAGCUUUGGGACUCCGUUAUUGAUUCUGUAAGCUUUUAGUGAAUUCCUAACCCCUCUCCCCUCCCUUGACAUCUAUUCCCUUCUCAAGUUCUUUCAUUUAAUUUCUAAAUUAUCUUUGUCUGCAGAUUUAUUUGUGUUUUCUGGUGUUGUAGUAAACAUUUAUUUUAAUUUGUCAUUUGUUCCCCCCUUGGUUCUCAUAUACAUACCUAAAAUUCGAAAUUGUCAAAUUAGAUUUAAGGAUGUGGCCAAAUUUAUGAAAAUAUCUCAAAAAAAAAUAUAGUACUAAUAUUCUCUGAAAUGUAUUUUAAAAAAAAAUAAAAAUAGGUAAGUAUGUUAUAUAUUCAAAAACGGAACAACUUAGCACUAAGGCGGUGCUAAGGAAGUAGACAUAAGUGAAAACCUUUUGUACAUAAACGAAAACAAGGUUUCCUACUGUGGAAGUCCUAUCUUUGUAGACUAACUAUAAAAUCUACCAUGUUAUUUUCGUCCUUUACAUCUUGUAGAUUACAUCAAAAGUCAAAAAUCAUAGACAAUUGUAUUUAAGUUGUUGUACACUACUCAUCUUCCAUUCAAAACAUCUGGCAUUUUUAUUUUCUAUAAAAUCCAACAUUUGCUGGCAUGGACUGUGAUUCAAUACUUGGCACUCUAUGUUUUUUUAAUAUUUGUACUUUAUUAGCUUUCUUUGUGGUUAGUUUUGCUUUCUACCUAUCUUUUGGUUCUAUGUCCUCUAUCCGGGGAGUUCUCUUAUAGAAUAAAUUUUGUUUUCUAUCUUUUUGACAUACUUCCAUUAUGUUUUAGAUCUCUUUUCAACUAAAUUCUAUGGAUGACUGUGAAUUUGUGUUGUUUUAUUUGUGGUUAAAUCUUGAUUUUGUUGAAGAGAAAAGGAGAUAAACAUAGUAGAAAAAAUGUUUUACAAAUUUUUUUAUCAAGUUGACAUAAAUUUGUUAUUUUGACAGAUCAAGAAUUUUAAAUUUGAAGAACCGGCCUGCAUCUGAUCAGAGUGAAGUGGAAGUAUGAGCAACUGAAAAUGAAAGAACAAGUUGAAGCACAAGACAAACCUACUGGUUUAUGUUUUAGGAAUUAUUUACAGAUAUUCUCAUUUAUACAUAUUACAUUUUAUUCUCUUUUGUAAGGAGUUGAUAUUUAAUGUCUUAUAAUAAGGAUAGAAAAUUUUAUGCAAUGCAACACUACACUUCUUUGUAAUUUACUAUGAAAUUUUAUAUGUAUAAUCACAAUGUUGAUUAUUUGGUCACUAGUUUUUUAUAGUGAUCAAUUAUCAAAAAUCGGAUGUCACUGAUAGUUGAUAGAUAAUUAGCAAAGGUAAAA